GCUGGGUGCAGUGGUGCACACCUGUAAUCCAGUUUACUUGGGAGGCUGAGGCAAGAGGAUUGCUUGAACCUAGGAGUUUGAGGCCAACCUGGGCAAUGUAGAGAGAUCCCAUCUUAA
rnacentral:sRNA from 1 species